UACGUAGGGUGCAAGCGUUGUCCGGAAUUAUUGGGCGUAAAGAGCUCGUAGGCGGUUUGUCGCGUCGGCUGUGAAAACCCGGGGCUCAACCCCGGGCCUGCAGUCGAUACGGGCAAACUAGAGUGUGGUAGGGGAGACUGGAAUUCCUGGUGUAGUGGUGAAAUGCGUAGAUAUCGGGAGGAACACCAGUGGCGAAGGCGACUUCCUGGCCUGUUCUUGACGCUGAGGCGCGAAAGCUAGGGUAGCAAACGGG
rnacentral:rRNA from 1 species